rnacentral:rRNA from 1 species
AAUGGGGGCAACCCUGAUCCAGCCAUGCCGCGUGAGUGAAGAAGGCCUUCGGGUUGUAAAGCUCUUUCAGACGGAAAGAAAUCGCAUCCUCUAAUACGGGGUGUGGAUGACGGUACCGUAAGAAGAAGCACCGGCUAACUACGUGCCAGCAGCCGCGGUAAUACGUAGGGUGCGAGCGUUAAUCGGAAUUACUGGGCGUAAAGCGUGCGCAGGCGGUGAUGUAAGACCGAUGUGAAAUCCCCGGGCUCAACCUGGGAACUGCGUUUGUGACUGCAUCACUCGAGUACGGCAGAGGGAGGUGGAAUUCCACGUGUAGCAGUGAAAUGCGUAGAGAUGUGGAGGAACACCGAUGGCGAAGGCAGCCUCCUGGGCCAGUACUGACGCUCAUGCACGAAAGCGUGGGGAGCAAA